GAGGGGAUAGCUCAGUGGUAGAGUGCAUGCCUAGCAUGCACGAGGUCCUGGGUUCAAUCCCCAGUCACUCCA
rnacentral:tRNA from 1 species